CCAAUAGCGUAUAUUAAAGUUGUUGCAGUUAAAAAGCUCGUAGUUGAAUUUCGGGAUCAGUACGCUGGUCGUGCCUCCGGUAUGUACUGGUGUCACUGGUUCCUCCCUUCUGAAGAACCAUCAUGCUAUUAAUUUAGUGUGGUGGGAACUCAGGACUGUUACUUUGAAAAAAUUAGAGUGUUUAAAGCAGGCUCACGCUUGAAUACAUUAGCAUGGAAUAAUGAAAUAGGACGUUGAUCCUAUUUUGUUGGUUUCUAGGAUUGACGUAAUGAUUAAUAGGGAUAGUUGGGGGCAUUAGUAUUCAAUUGUCAGAGGUGAAAUUCUUGGAUUUAUUGAAGACUAACUACUGCGAAAGCAUUUGCCAAGGAUGUUUUCAUUAAUCAAGAACGAAAGUUAGGGGAUCGAAGACGAUCAGAUACCGUCGUAGUCUUAACCAUAAACUAUGCCGACUAGGGAUCGGAUGAUGUCAAUUUUUUAAUGACUCAUUCGGCGCCUUACG
rnacentral:rRNA from 1 species